AUUGAACGCUGGCGGCAGGCCUAACACAUGCAAGUCGAGCGGAUGAAGGGAGCUUGCUCCUGGAUUCAGCGGCGGACGGGUGAGUAAUGCCUAGGAAUCUGCCUGGUAGUGGGGGAUAACGUCCGGAAACGGGCGCUAAUACCGCAUACGUCCUGAGGGAGAAAGUGGGGGAUCUUCGGACCUCAUGCUAUCAGAUGAGCCUAGGUCGGAUUAGCUAGUUGGUGGGGUAAAGGCCUACCAAGGCGACGAUCCGUAACUGGUCUGAGAGGAUGAUCAGUCACACUGGAACUGAGACACGGUCCAGACUCCUACGGGAGGGAGCAGUGGGGAAUAGUGGACAAUGGGCGAAAGCCUGAUCCAGCCAUGCCGCGUGUGUGAAGAAGGUCUUCGGAUUGUAAAGCACUUUAAGUUGGGAGGAAGGGCAGUAAGUUAAUACCUUGCUGUUUUGACGUUACCAACAGAAUAAGCACCGGCUAACUUCGUG
rnacentral:rRNA from 1 species